rnacentral:rRNA from 1 species
GACAGAGGAUGCAAGCGUUAUCCGGAAUGAUUGGGCGUAAAGCGUCUGUAGGUGGCUUUGCAAGUCCGCCGUCAAAUCCCAGGGCUCAACCCUGGACAGGCGGUGGAAACUGCCAAGCUGGAGUACGGUAGGGGCAGAGGGAAUUUCCGGUGGAGCGGUGAAAUGCGUAGAGAUCGGGAAGAACACCAACGGCGAAAGCACUCUGCUGGGCCGACACUGACACUGAGAGACGAAAGCUAGGGGAGCGAACAGG